rnacentral:rRNA from 1 species
GAUGAACGCUGGCGGCGUGCCUAAUACAUGCAAGUCGAGCGAACAGACGAGGAGCUUGCUCCUCUGACGUUAGCGGCGGACGGGUGAGUAACACGUGGAUAACCUACCUAUAAGACUGGGAUAACUUCGGGAAACCGGAGCUAAUACCGGAUAAUAUAUUGAACCGCAUGGUUCAAUAGUGAAAGACGGUUUUGCUGUCACUUAUAGAUGGAUCCGCGCCGCAUUAGCUAGUUGGUAAGGUAACGGCUUACCAAGGCAACGAUGCGUAGCCGACCUGAGAGGGUGAUCGGCCACACUGGAACUGAGACACGGUCCAUACUCCUACGGGAGGCAGCAGUAGGGAAUCGUCCGCAAUGGGCGAAAGCUUGACGGAGCAACGCCGCGUGAGUGAUGAAGGUCUUCGGAUCGUAAAACUCUGUUAUUAGGGAAGAACAAAUGUGUAAGUAACUAUGCACGUCUUGACGGUACCUAAUCAGAAAGCCACGGCUAACUACGUG